GACGAACGCUGGCGGCGUGCCUAAUACAUGCAAGUCGAGCGAAGUUUUUCUGGUGCUUGCACUAGAAAAACUUAGCGGCGAACGGGUGAGUAACACGUAAAGAACCUGCCUCAUAGACUGGGACAACUAUUGGAAACGAUAGCUAAUACCGGAUAACAGUAUUUCUCGCAUGAGAGAUAUUUAAAAGUUGGUUAUGCUAACACUAUGAGAUGGCUUUGCGGUGCAUUAGCUAGUUGGUGGGGUAAAGGCCCACCAAGGCGACGAUGCAUAGCCGACCUGAGAGGGUGAUCGGCCACACUGGGACUGAGACACGGCCCAGACUCCUACGGGAGGCAGCAGUAGGGAAUCUUCCGCAAUGGGCGAAAGCCUGACGGAGCAACGCCGCGUGAGUGAAGAAGGAUUUCGGUUCGUAAAGCUCUGUUGUUAGGGAAGAAUGGAUAUGUAGUAACUAUACAUGUAAGAGACGGU
rnacentral:rRNA from 1 species